ensembl:lincRNA 4930519L02Rik RIKEN cDNA 4930519L02 gene
GGGGGAACUUGCCAAUCGUAUGCAGCCUCUUCUGUUAGCUUUAUUGUUCCUGGCUGUUCAGUUUCCCAGAUGUUGAAGACAAGAUGUUGCAUACUGACACUGGAUAUCGGACCCAGUCUAUGCUUAGGUCAUCACUGUGAAAACAGAAGCGGUAUGACUCAUUUCAAGCGUCUGAUUUACACACCCAUGAAGGAGCUCCUUCAGAUUGUUAUAACCCUUCUCGCUACAAGUCCCACUUUCAAAGCCAGCUAGCCCCAGCUUCCCCAGCGGUGGAACUCAGAAAUCCAGACAACAGUUUUCAUGAAGCUGAUCAGCAGGAGCUUCCUCUGCCAGGCCUGCUCCCCAAAGGAAGAACGCUCAGAGCCAGGCCUUGGAGAUGAGAGAUGAGAUGCAUAAUGAAGAGCUGUUUGUUUUCUAGAGAUCUACAAGUCAAUUUGGGAUGCUUCAUCGGC